rnacentral:sRNA from 1 species
GGAAAGCCAUUUGGAGCGGGUUUGGAG